rnacentral:rRNA from 1 species
AGUCACUGACAUUAGAUACCCCCGUAGUCCAGGGUGUAAACGCUGCAGACUUGGUGUUGGGAACCCUUCGGGGGUGCUCAGUGCCGGAGAGAAGUUGUUAAGUCUGCUACUUGGGGAGUACGUCCGCAAGGAUGAAACUUAAAGGAAUCGGCGGGGGAGCACCGCAACGGGAGGAGCGUGCGGUUUAAUUGGAUUCAACGCCGAAAAACUCACCAGCAGCGACUGUUACAUGAAAGUCAGGUUGAUGACCUUACUAGAUUUUUCAG